rnacentral:tRNA from 1 species
GCCUUAAUAGUUUAUUUAAAACUUUAUCUUUGUAAGUUAAAAAAGGAGUACCUUAAGGCU